rnacentral:rRNA from 1 species
UACGUAGGGUGCAAGCGUUGCCCGGAAUUAUUGGGCGUAAAGGGCUCGUAGGCGGUUUGUUGCGUCGGCUGUGAAAUCCCGGAGGCUCAACCUCGGGUCUGCAGUCGAUACGAGCAAACUAGAGUGUUGCAGGGGAGACUGGAAUUCCCGGUGUAGUGGUGAAAUGCGUAGAUAUCGGAAGGAACAUCAGUGGCGAAAGCGACUUCCUGGACCAAUACUGACGCUCAUGUGCGAAAGCGUGGGGAGCAAACAGG